rnacentral:lncRNA from 1 species
CUGAAUCGUGAAUGGCUGGGGGGCUCUGGGUUGCAGGCGCGGAAGCUUGAACGUUGGAGCUGGGACGCAUGGACUGUGAGGAAGACGCUGAAGGAAGCUUGGACUGCUGGCGCUUGGGAUUCGGAUGGCUGGAUCGAACGCAGGAGAUGGGGCAUGGACGAGUGCUGGAUCACACGCGGAGAAGACGAACACGGAUUCUUGGGGUCGCGAAUCCGGAAGAUGCGCGGAUGGA